rnacentral:rRNA from 1 species
UUAGGUGGUAGAUAUAUUGUGUAAAAAUCUGUUUUAGUUUGUAUAUUUAUAGAAAAUUUUUGUGGUUGUUGAAAAGAAAAAAUAAUUAGGCAUAAAAAUUUAUACGUUUGUUUUUUUUGUAUCAUAAUCUAUAGAGAGAAUAAAAAGAUUUUGUUUCCUGAAAACUUUAGAGCUACUGUUUUAACACAGCUUUUGUUUCAAAAUGGGGUUUAGAUUUUACAGUAGGAAUGACAUGUUUAUCGAAAAAGUUGAUAGCUGGUUUAAAGGGAAAUAUAUUUACGUAUAGGGGUUGAUAAAAAUAAGGAUUAUUUAUAUCUUUAUUUUUUUUACUACUCAGGUUUUAGGGGAUAAGCUCUAGAACAGGAAGAUGAGGUGAUUUGAAAGUAGGGCUAAUAUUGUUUAUCUUUUGAGAAUUUAUUAAUAAAGCAAUUUGAAAUUUAUAAUUUUUUAGUACCUUUAUAGGUAAUAAUAAUUUUUUAUAUCAAAAUUAGUAUAGAAUCAGUAGUUGGAAGAUAAAAAAAAUUAUAAAAAAUUUUAAGUGUUUGGGGUAAUAAAAACAAAUAUUUGGUUAGUAUAAAAUUUUAUUAUAAGAACUCGGCAAAAAUAUCCUGCGCCUGUUUAUUAAAAACAUGGCUUUCUGUUUCUCAGUAUAGGAAGUCCGGCCUGCCCGGUGAAAUUUAAACGGCUGCAACGAGAGUUGUGCUAAGGUAGCGUGAUAGGUUGUCUCUUAAUUGGAGAAUGGUAUGAAGGGUCUCACGUGGGGUUUCUUUUUUUAAUUAAUAAAAUGAAGUUUCUUUUUAAGUGAAAAAGCUUAAGUUUUUGUAAAAGACGAGAAGACCCUGUCGAGCUUGAUUAAAAUUAUUGAUUCUUAAAGUAUAUUUUGUUUUAAUAAUUUAAACUUUUAUUGGGGCAAUAUAGAUUUAAAUAACAGUCUAGUAUAAAAUUUAGAUCCUCUUUGAGAGAAAACAGCAAAAGCUACCGCAGGGAUAACAGCGUUAUCUUUCUUGAGAGAUCGAAUUGAGGGAAAGGUUUGCGACCUCGAUGUUGGAUUAGGGAAACUCUGUGGCGCAGAAGCUAUAGUAGUGAGACUGUUCGUCUUUUAAUUCCAUACAUGAUCUGAGUUAAGACCGGCGUGAGCUAGGUCGGUUUCUAUCUUUAAAUAUUAUCUUCAUUGUACGAAAGGAUCCGAAGGUAGGGUUUUACCUUUGUACUA